GAAGAAGAUAGGUAAUUUUUAUUUAAAUUACAUAAUUUUAAUUAAAUUUAUAUAAUUUUAUUGUUAGUAUCACUCAAAGCUGAAAUUCCAAACGCUGCUAAGCCACAAUACGAGCUUUUGAGCAAUUCCAAAUAGAACUGUGAACAAGAAUACUUCAAUUUAGGUAGAAAGUCACCAAUUAAACAAGAUCAAUUGUGAUUCUCUGCAAUGACAAACUCUAAUACAAGAUAGAACAUUUGUUUCCCUAUUUUAAAUAAAUAAAACAUUUUCCCUCCAAUACAGUUCCCACGAUGCCUAAACUUCUCAAGCAAAGAGGGAUAAUUUAUAAAAUUUUCUUGUCCUUUUCUAAUUCCUUCCCCGAAAAGAAACAAACAAAACAAUAAAUAAAUAAAAUUCCAGCCCAAAAAGUCUUAUCAUAUUCCCUGUAACCCAAAACAAAAAGGAAAAAAAUGCAUUUCAAAAAACAGAGAGAUAUCAAAAGAAGCCACCAAACAGAGAGGAUCCAUAAUUUUUCCUUCAAUCAGCACACAGGAGUGAAGCAGAGAAAGAAAUGAUUAUCUAGCCAGUUAAAAGUUGAAACAUACCCGAAAAAGAAUGAAACAAAAGGAAAAUCAAUAAAUGAGAAGAAUCGCCUCUGGGUUUGGAUGAUCGAAAGCUCGUCGGAGCUUGAACGGAGAAUUGGGUGGUAGAGAAAAGAGAGAAAAGGACAGCGCAGGAGAAAUGAGAUGUAUCGGUUAAACGGCUUAAGAAGGCAAUGGUGGAACGUGUCUUCCGUUGAGAGGUUCUUAUAGGGACAAUCCCCCGUUUAAGCACAAACCCAAUGAAAAGCGGCCACAGUAGAAAUGUUGAUCGGCUUUAGUGACGUGGAACCAUCCACUGCAUGAUGGGCGCGUGCUUUCACGCUCUCACAAGUAAUUAUAGAGUGAAGUAAUGAUUAUAUUUAUAUCAAUAAAAUGAUAAUAAAAAGGAC
rnacentral:lncRNA from 1 species